rnacentral:tRNA from 1 species
GUGGUGAAAACUGUUAAUACCUUUGGCUGCUAACCAAAUGGUGGGUGGUUCGAGUCCAUCC